rnacentral:rRNA from 1 species
UAGGGAAUCUUCCGCAAUGGGCGAAAGCCUGACGGAGCAACGCCGCGUGAGUGAUGAAGGUCUUCGGAUCGUAAAACUCUGUUAUUAGGGAAGAACAAAUGUGUAAGUAACUAUGCACGUCUUGACGGUACCUAAUCAGAAAGCCACGGCUAACUACGUGCCAGCAGCCGCGGUAAUACGUAGGUGGCAAGCGUUAUCCGGAAUUAUUGGGCGUAAAGCGCGCGUAGGCGGUUUUUUAAGUCUGAUGUGAAAGCCCACGGCUCAGCCGUGGAGGGUCAUUGGAAACUGGAAAACUUGAGUGCAGAAGAGGAAAGUGGAAUUCCAUGUGUAGCGGUGAAAUGCGCAGAGAUAUGGAGGAACACCAGUGGCGAAGGCGACUUUCUGGUCUGUAACUGACGCUGAUGUGCGAAAGCGUGGGGAUCAAACAGG